rnacentral:pre_miRNA from 1 species
UUUUUAAGAUAAGUAUGUCCCAUGCAGUAUUGGGGGUAUACUUAUACUAAGA